UACGGAAGGCAGCAGUGGGGAAUAUUGGACAAUGGGCGAAAGCCUGAUCCAGCCAUGCCGCAUGAGUGAAGAGGGCCUUCGGGUUGUAAAGCUCUUUUAGUGAGAAAGAUAAUGACGGUACUCACAGAAGAAGUCCUGGCUAACUCCGUGCCAGCAGCCGCGGUAAUACGGAGAGGGCUAGCGUUAUUCGGAAUUAUUGGGCGUAAAGGGCGCGUAGGCUGAUUAGUAAGUUAAAAGUGAAAUCCCAAAGCUUAACUUUGGAAUUGCUUUUUAAAACUGCUAGUCUAGAGAUUGAAAGAGGAUAGAGGAAUUCCUAGUGUAGAGGUGAAAUUCGUAAAUAUUAGGAGGAACACCAGUGGCGAAGGCGUCUAUCUGGUUCAAAUCUGACGCUGAGGCGCGAAGGGCGUGGGGAGCAAACAGGGAUUUAGAUACC
rnacentral:rRNA from 1 species